GAUGGUAAAAACGGGGAUGAAAGUGCAAUGUGAAAGAUAAAUCUAUAAGCUUAAAAAAAAGAAAAAUUGAAGGGAAAAAAACAGCCUUACUCACAUCUAUGAAUUAGUGAUGCUGCCCGCAACUGAAAACAAAGCCCUUGACCUUGAAGAAAAAAGGUGCUUGCGGGACCAAAGCACCCAAUACUCAUUUUUAUUGGAGUGUGCUCAUAUAUCCUUUAUGUGAGUCUAUAAGGAAUUUCUAGGUAAUUAUCAAAGUUUUAUUGAAAUUGAUGGGUGCUUAAGUGAUGUAAUUCACAUAGUAUCGGUUAAAGUUUCAGAAAGAAAGAUGAAGGAAGAAGAAAAGGGAAGAAGGAGAUGGAGCGGUCGUUUGAGAGAAUAAAGAUAAGACAAUGAGGGGUCAUUU
rnacentral:lncRNA from 1 species